AUUUUAUUAGUAUAUAAGUAUAAUUGACUUCCAAUUAAGAGGACUAAUAAAUUUAGAUAAAAUA
rnacentral:tRNA from 1 species